UACGUAGGUGACCAGCGUUGUCCGGAUUUACUGGGCGUAAAGAGCGCGCAGGCGGUCGUUCAAGUCGAGUGUGAAAGCCCCCGGCUCAACUGGGGAGGGUCACUCGAUACUGAUCGACUUGAAGGCAGGAGAGGGAAGCGGAAUUCCUGGUGUAGCGGUGAAAUGCGCAGAUAUCAGGAGGAACACCGAUGGCGAAGGCAGGUCUCUGGGCAUUAACUGACGCUGAGGAGCGAAAGCAUGGGGAGCGAACAGG
rnacentral:rRNA from 1 species